rnacentral:hammerhead_ribozyme from 1 species
AUCCAGCUGGCGAGUCCCAAAUAGGACCAAAUGCGCGUCAAACUGGAU